CUUUAUUGGAGAGUUUGAUCCUGGCUCAGGACGAACGCUGGCGGCAUGCCUAAUACAUGCAAGUCGAGCGGACUUGAUGAGAAGCUUGCUUCUCGGAUGGUUAGCGGCGGACGGGUGAGUAACACGUAGGCAACCUGCCCUCAAGCUUGGGACAACUACCGGAAACGGUAGCUAAUACCGAAUAGUUGUUUUCUUCUCCUGAAG
rnacentral:rRNA from 1 species